AUCUCAUUACAUUUCAUCUUUCAUCUCAUAAUUUCAUCCAUCAUUUCAUUUCAUUUCAUCAUUUCAUCUCAUGAUUUCAUCUCAUCUCAUUAUCUCAUUUCAUCUCAUUAUUUCAUCUCAUUUCAUCUCAUCUCAUUUCAUCAUUUCAUUUCACCAUUACAUCUCAUCAUUUCAACUCAUCUCAUUUCAAUUUCAUCAUUACAUUUCAUAAUUUCCUUUCAUUAUUUCAUUUCAUCUCAUUUCAUUAUUUCAUUUCAUUUUUCAUCUCAUCAUUUUUCAUCUCAUUUCAUUUCAUCAUUUCAUCUCAUCGUUCAUCUCAUCUCAUCAUUUUAUCUCAUUAUUUCAUCUCAUAUCAUCUCAUUACAAUUUCAUUAUUUCAUAUCAUUUCAUUAUUUCAUUUCAUCUCGUUUCAUCUCAUUUCAUCCAUCAUCUCAUUUCAUCUCAUUUUAUCUCAUCUCCUCUCCUUUCAAUUUCUUUUCAAUUUUGUCAUUUCGUCUCAUCAUUUCAUCUCAUCAUUUCUACUCACCAUUUCAUCUCAAAAUUUCAUCUCAUCAUCUCAUCUCAUCAUUUCGUCAUUUCAUCUCAUCAUUUCAUCUCAAGUCAUCAUUUCAUCUAAGUGAAAUGAUGUAAUGGAAUCAUGAAAUGAAAUGGAUAGGAUGCCCUCAGUGAUGUUAAAUUUAAAAAUUGUUUCUUUUCAUGUAUGCAUUUUUAUAUUUAUAUUUACUUAUAGUUAUUACUUUUUAUUUAUAUUUUUACUUAUUUCUUUAUUUAUAAACAAGGUCCUGUUCUGUGGCCUAGGCUGGAAUGCAGUGGUGCAUUCACAGUUCACUGAAGCCUCAAGCAAACCUCCCACCUUAGCCUCCCAGGUAGCUGGGACCCCAGGUGCGCACCACCACACCUGGUUAAUAUUUUAUUAUUUGCAGAGAUGGAGUCUUGCUAUUCUGCCCAGGCUGGUCUCAAACUCCUGGGCUCAAGCAAUCCUCCUGCAUUGGCAACCCAAAAU
rnacentral:lncRNA from 10 species